rnacentral:misc_RNA from 1 species
GAUGAAGAACGUAGCGAAUUGCGAUAAGUAAUGUGAAUUGCAGAUUUUCAGUGAAUCAUCGAAUCUUUGAACGCACCUUGCGCUCCUUGGUAUUCUGAGGAGCAUGCCUGUUUGAGUGUCAUGAAAUUCUCAACCUUUUCAGCUUUCUUUGUUGAUCAGGCUUGGAUGUGGGAGUAUGCGGGCUUCUCAGAAGUCGGCUCUCCUGAAAUGCAUUAGCGGGACCUUUGUUGCCUGGCUUUGGUGUGAUAAUUAUCUACGCCAUUGUAGUCAAGCAGCUUAAAAUGAGGUUUCAGCUUCUAACCGUCUCCCCUGAGACAACUUUUUGACAAUUUGACCUCAAAUCAGGUAGGACUACCCGCUGAACUUAAGCAUAUCAAUAAGCGGAGGA